rnacentral:misc_RNA from 1 species
GAUGAAGAACGUAGCGAAAUGCGAUACUUGGUGUGAAUUGCAGAAUCCCGUGAACCAUCGAGUCUUUGAACGCAAGUUGCGCCCGAAGCCAUUAGGCCGAGGGCACGCCUGCCUGGGCGUCACACGUCGUUGCCCCCCCAUCUACUCCUUCGGGAUUGCGGGGGGCGGAUGAUGGCCUCCCGUGCGCCUCGUCGCGCGGUUGGCAUAAAUGCCAAGUCCUCGGCGCACGCCACGACAAUCGGUGGUUGCGAAACCUCGGUUGCCCGUCGUGUGCGGUCGUCGCGCAUCGAGGGCUCGAAAAAAUUGCCGGGCUCUGUGUCGGCUUUCAACGCGACCCCAGGUCAGGCGGGGUUACCCGCUGAAUUUAAGCAUAUCAAUAAGCGGAGGA